AUCUAACAGAAAAAGGUCAUUAAUUAGGACUCUUGGCAGCAAUUGUUCAAAGAUAUACCAUGUGCAGUUUUACCUUUGAAAUGAUCAUGCAAUUUCAAAGCAUGAAGAACCAGUUUAAGGGCAGUCUUUUUAGGGUGGCAGAGGAACUGUAGAAGAGCAAGCCAAGCUGGAAGGUGGAGUUAAAUGCGACAUCAGUUUAGAGUCUUUGCAUUGCCAUAAGAGAUCCAAAUCCAGUCACUCUUGAAUUCCAUUGGCCCUUAUCUAGCACAAAUUUAGUUGACCAGAUUCUUGUCUAUAGGUAUGAGCAAUAAAUAUUUCUGAGAUACAACUCAAUCUAUGUUCCUGGUCCUUUGCACCUGACGAUUACACUACAUGCAGAAAUCACCCGGAAGAAGGUGAACAGGCUUCCUGCCCUACCAACAAAUUGAGAUCUCCCUGAAUUUCCCAGAUGGGACUGGAUUGAGGAAAGCCGUGGUAACUAGCGUUUCAAGAGUUUUUAAUUGGUGAAGAAGAGUUGGCAGCCGCACACCAACUUCUACAUACUUGAAUCCCAUUGAUUUCCCACAGAAAUGUGUGCAACUUGGCAUAGGAUGGCAUCUCAGUGUAAUUAUUAUUAGAUUUAAGCAAAUAGGUAAUUAAAGGCAGCAGUUUCCUGGCUUGGUAAA